GGGUUGUGAGGUUAAGCGACUAAGCGUACACGGUGGAUGCCCUGGCAGUCAGAGGCGAUGAAGGACGUGCUAAUCUGCGAUAAGCGUCGGUAAGGUGAUAUGAACCGUUAUAACCGGCGAUUUCCGAAUGGGGAAACCCAGUGUGAUUCGUCACACUAUCAUUAACUGUAUCCAUAGGUUAAUGAGGCGAACCGGGGGAACUGAAACAUCUAAGUACCCCGAGGAAAAGAAAUCAACCGAGAUUCCCCCAGUAGCGGCGAGCGAACGGGGAGCAGCCCAGAGCCUGAAUCAGUGUGUGUGUUAGUGGAAGCGUCUGGAAAGGCGCGCGAUACAGGGUGACAGCCCCGUACACAAAAAUGCACAUAUUGUGAGCUCGAUGAGUAGGGCGGGACACGUGGUAUCCUGUCUGAAUAUGGGGGG
rnacentral:rRNA from 1 species